UUGAUGGGAUGAUCAGGAUUUCCGCUUCCGCUUUUUCCUCGUUUUCUCUUGCUGCUGCCGUGUAAGGGGUGCCUUUGGCCUCCCACCGUGACUGUGAGGCCUCCCCAACCAUGUGCAACUAACAAGUAAACUGAGGCUCCAGCCCCUGCCCUCACUACCAGAGUCAGAGGCUCCCGAGGAGCAGACCGUGGCCACCCAACCAGGCUGGGAGCAGAAAAGAGGGAUCUUUGGAGCGGCCAAGCGUGCAGCCUGGAGCCCUGGCAGCCCCGCUCAUCCCAGACGCUGCUACGUGCCGAGAACCCCGCGGGGAGCAGAUGGCGGCCAACGCAGUGUUACAAAGCUUUCUACCCGGCAGACAAGUAGGAGGCAUCCGCCAGCCUGGGCUCUGCAGACGCCGGCCCUCCCUUCCCCGCCGGGAGCACAGACAGUCCCAUCGAUUAAACGCGAUCUUCUUCUUUGCCCGCCAAGACAGAAAUCCUGCCAUUUGCUGCAAGUGAAAACCUGCAGGCAGCCGAGGACUAGCGGGCUCCCACGUGCCUUCCUGUUCACCCUCCCAGCUAAUGGCAAGGACAUCCCUGGUCCCAGCCUCUGUGCUGUGUAGCCCAUGGGACACGGCGGGGCGCCCUGCUGGACGCGGGAGGGGCUGGCUGCUAACAGCUGUGGUGACAGCCGUGGGUCCCAACUGCAGCCUGGCCUGAGGUCUGCCCAGCCCUCUCCCCAGGGGCCGGUCUGAUGGGUGUGGACAAACGCUCCCUGAAGAUGCCGGUUCACGGGAUCUGACUCAGGCCAAUGCCAGCCCCUGUAUGUGUUUCUCAGCCUCAGCUGACGACCUGACCGGCAUGGAGGCACCAUAAUGGCCGCUAAGGACCCACCUGGACUUCCCCUUCCUCUUAAAACACACAACCAGAAACACCAGCCUGUCCAGGUUCGAUCUGGGGUGACCAAGCUGGGCAUCCCUGGAGCCCCUCGCCCGGGAUGAGCAGGGCAGGGAGUACCUACCUGGCAGGCCGCCGGCAAAGGUAAGCACGGGGCUCCGCAGGUGCUUCUCGAGCACGGCCAGCCUCUCCUGCAGCUGCGCGGCGCUCACCUCGCUCUGGCCCCUGGUGCCGUCCACCUCCAGGGUGGCCUCACCCUCCCUCAGCGAGACAGUGACCAUGUGCUCUUGACCAUCGCAGACCUUGAUCUCCAUUAGGGCCAAGGCCACGUGCUCCACGGCCAGGACCACCAGCUGCAGGAGACCGAGAUGUGGUCAGGGCCUGCGGGCCGCCCCCACAUAAGCCGUUAGGUCCAAGCUGGUCCUCACAGCUGCCGGCCGCCCCCACACCGCAGGCCUGUCUCCGUCCAGGGUUCCCUGCAGCCCUGGGUCUGGAUGCUCGCUGACUGUGGAUGACGCCCCCACCUCACCUGGGGCUCAGCUUCUCUGCGCGUAAAGCCAGGGGCCAGCCUGGGAGGCUGUGGGGGAGCAGGUGUGGCCCCCAGGUUGAGUGUCAGAGGGUCAACCCCAGCCCCAGGCACACACAGGACCGAGGCUGCACUUGACCAGGAACUGGUGUGUCCCUGACGGGGACCCAGGGCCCAACCCUGUGGUGGUGGACUCCCAGCCUGGUGGGCUCUCACGCUGGCACCGCAGCCCAGCUGCCCACUCCCCAGCCCAGGGGUCAGCUGUUGCUACAUAAGGGCGGCUGUUUAUUCCAGAUGCUGGGAUUGCGUCUGGCCCUGGUGAUGAGCAUUUCCGUGAACCAAGCCUGUCACUGUUGCAUCCAGGCAACCAGGAGGGCCCUGGGGUGGGCAGACUUGGAGAACAAGGGCCUCUCUGGUUUGACCCAUGUCGUCCUCCUUGGCACAGGAGCGAGAGAAUCCAACCUGUUUCUGUCACCUCCUGAUUGUUCUGUGGGGAAAACAGCAUGACUCCCCCGGCCCAAGACAGCUGACUUAUUGUGAGGACCGGGGGUGGGAGACCUCAUCCAAGGGGCAGCUGCACUCAGCUCCACCCACUGUCCCCCAGGGAGAGACGCUGUGGGGGGCACCAGCCGAGGUCACAGAUCUGACUUUUCCAGGCGAAUUGGAAAACUGAGUUUGUUGCUGAAAUCAUCUGACUUAAACGUGAGAGACUAAUUCAGUUUGCUGUGAGCCACCAUCUGCCCAGCCGAACGGGAAAAGCUCCCACACUGUGGGCCGAGUGUGGCUCGCAGGCACCGGCCCCCCCAGUCAGCCGUGUGGCGGUGAUGUGUGUCCAAACCACCCCCACAGUCGGAAGGGCGGCCCGCGCCAGGCUUGGCUCAUCGGACCUCUGGUCAGAGGCUUUUGCGGCUCCCUGGGGAUCCCACCCAGGCCCCUCCGUCCCCUGCCAGAGAGUGCGGCCCACGUGCCUGUGGGACGAGCCGGUCAGGACACCCCGGGUGGCAGAGGCCCUACCUGCUUCUUGAGCUUCUUUGUGGAGUGAUAGUCUACCAGGGCCACAGAGAGAGGCACGGCACGGAGGUCGGGGACCCAGAGCGCAAACAGCACCCCCGUGUCUGCGGCCGGGCGGAUGUGAGCCACGACUUCUAUUUCCCAGGUCGAUUCUGUCCCGAUGUCCAGAGGGGUCCGCAC